UACGUAGGGCGCAAGCGUUGUCCGGAAUUAUUGGGCGUAAAGAGCUCGUAGGCGGCUUGUCACGUCGGGUGUGAAAGACCGGGGCUUAACCCCGGUUCUGCAUUCGAUACGGGCUGGCUAGAGUGUGGUAGGGGAGAUCGGAAUUCCUGGUGUAGCGGUGAAAUGCGCAGAUAUCAGGAGGAACACCGGUGGCGAAGGCGGGACUCUGGGCCGAUACUGACGCUGAGGAGCGAAAGCGUGGGGAGCAAACAGG
rnacentral:rRNA from 1 species